AUUAGUAAGCGACACAUAUAAGAAAAUUCUAUUUUGAAUGAAAUUUAGAAUUGCUAAUAAGUUUAAAGAAAUACGACUCACAAAAGAGUUUCACAAUUGGAAAGUCCAAUCUUUUAAGAAAACUAGAUGUUGAUUUUGAACUUGGUCUUGCCCUAUAAUGCUUACUAGGCUUCUGAAUCCUUCCUAUCUUUUGAGUGAAUAACGCCAAUUAUCUCCAUAUAACAUUAAUAAACAUCAGCAGCUUUAAAUAGGUACAGCAAUCGUUUAAUGGCAAUAAGGAAAACAAAUAGUUUCCUUUAAAGACAAGUCGAUUUAUAUGUAUAAGUUUUUUAAUCAUGGCCUGUGAUGAUUAUCCUGAAUCCUUGAUCAAUCAAAUUUCCCAUCUAUUUGCUGAUGUUGUAGAAAAAGGGUAAAAAAAAAUUGGUGAAGGUAUAAAAUUUGGCGCCCGAUUAAAGAACUUCUGCAAUACUGAUAUGAUUAACCACAAAUAAGAUAGUAGUUUAAAGUACACCUGACCUUCCCUAAGAAGUUUUUGUUAAACAAUUCUCGACUAUUUCACUUGGUAAAAGAGUAUACAUCUUUACUAGUUAAUAUGCAUUUUGGUGGCCGAUAUUCCAUGAUUAUAAAGUUUAAAGUUGAUAUAUAGGUUUUUCUCAAAGUAUUUUUCAUUCUCUACUCAAGUUUUUUUAAUAUGCUUUUUUAAAAUUGGCGUCCGAUAUUAGAGUUUUUUUAAUAUGAUUCUUUACAAUUGGCUUCCGAUAUCUUGUUCAUAUCCAUCAUGCCCUCCCUAUGACGCUUAAUUGAUUUGUGAAUCCAUGAUAAAUUAAAUUUGAAUAAUAACAGGUCUCUUUUGUCCCCAAAAAUUCAUAACGAGCGAUAUAAGUAGUCAAAUUUUACCAUGCGCUAUUAUGAUCAUUUUGGCGUCCGAUCUUAGACAUUGUUUUAGAUCUUAGAUAUUAUCUUUUUCAUAUCAAUCAUGCCCUCUCUAUGAUGCUUAAUUGGCUUGUGAAUCCAUGAUAAAUUAAAUUUCCCAUCUAAUUACAGCCAGUUUGAAUAAUAACUGGUCUCUUUUGUCUCCAAGAAUUCAUAACGAGCGAUAUAAGAAGUCAAAUUUUAACAUGCGCAAUUAUGAUCAGGUACAUUAAUCGUUUGCUGAUAAUGCAUAUGUGAACCAAAUAGUUUCCUUUAAAGAGUAGCACAUUUGAAGUUCACUAGUCUUUAAUUUUGAAAAUAAUCAAAAAUGGGAUUUGUGUCAGUAUGUGUGAGAUACUGUCUAUAAACGAUUCAUGUUUUGAAACACACAUAAAAUAAGAAAAUUGUAAAUUCUUUUCUAUGGGAAAUCUGCUUGUGAGAGAUCCAAAGCUUGCAGCAGGAAUGAACUUCAUUGAACUGUAAUUAACAUAUGAUUAGUGAUUGAGAAAUCUCAGUAUGCAAAUAAUCUCCCUCUAUAGUCAGAAAGAUUCAUCUAAUAUUUUUUUAAGCAAAAGAUUUCGAUUCGACGAACUGAUAUCAGAUCUACAGUUCCAAAAGACAUUUUGGAUUUGCUGAGUGUCUUGUCAAAUACUAUACAUUGAAUGGAAUUUCCUUGACUCAUACUAGAAUUUGUUUUUUUUUAUUCUGCCCCCCUUUCUGGCCUAACAACAACAACCAAAAUUCCCCUUACACGAAUUUUCGACCUGAUAACAAACUACAAAACACUAAAAAUCUCUACGUACAAAUUUGCCUACGUGAUGUUAAUGCAAACAAAUACAUUAAACCAAAUUAAUAUAAACUACAAAAAAUGAACAUAUAAAGGACCUCUCCUUCUUCCUCCCAGAGAUAAUGAAAGUUUAUUCAUACAUAUAUAUGUUAUACACCAAAGCGAUACACAAAAACAUAGGAAAAAGAAAGAUACAUAUACAUUGUUACAAAUCAAAACAAAAUUUCCUUAAGUUGAAGUUAAUUUGGAAAUCAUUCAAUUUUUGAUAAUUACUUAAAAAAAAAAAACAAAACAAUAAACAACCCUUUUUCGAAAUGAAAUCAAGAAAAAACUUCUAUAGAAUAUUGAAGGCAACUAUUAGAUCUUAUUUACAUUAUGUCAAACAGAAUUCUUACAUGGAUCAUUUAUAUGAUAUUCAUGACAAAAAAAAGUAUAUGACAAGCAGAGUAUUAAUACAAUACUUCAACCAAAAAUUUAAUGUUGGACAAUUUCUUCUUUUCGCCAAGCAAACAUAAAUUUUUAUUAUAUCGUGGGCACCUUUUAAAAAUUACCGAAUAUCUGGUAAGAAAAGAAAAAAGGAUGAAUUUCACUGCAAGCUAAUUAUUCGCCAAAUAGUAUACUUUCUUACUUAAUGUUAGCAAAUCAGUUUUUGCUGGAAAUGAUUUGUUUUUACUGUAAAUAACUCUUUUUACGGAAGACAAAGUUUCUGAAGUUGUAUGCAUACAUUUAAUUUCAAAACAAUAUAGAAAGCUAUAUUGUAUACAAAUACUACGUUACAAUUUAACAUUCAUAUUGCUUUGUCUCUUUUGCUUCAGGUAAAUGAAUAGUCUUUGCUGUAAAUGAAUAAUUUUUGGCUAUAAGGAUUAUUGUUUGCUAGAAAUAAUUAUUUUCUUCAUUACGUGAAGCUUUUAGGUCUUUUUGGCAGUAAGCUAUAAAAAUGUUAUGCCGAAACUUGGCAAAUAUUCAAAGGAUUUGAAAUCAAUGUGAUCCCAAAAAAUUCAAUUCCAUUUGAAAAACAGAUUUAAAACCAAUUAUUGUAGAUCCACAUUGUUUAACCGGUAGACCAUUCUUUAAAUGUUACUAGUGUUAAAAAAUUUUUACAUUUUGGAAGUGUUACAAAUUAGCUGCUUCAGUUUUUGAUAUUCUUUUGAACAGAACGGGUUGUUUAUUUAAAUUACUAAUUUAAUCUACAAACAUUUUAUUUCCAUUUAAAAUCCAUUUUCUCUCAUCAUAACAUGGAUAUGGCUAAUAGAAGAUGUUAAAUUUACACAUAGGCUACUGACAAAAAAAAAACCCCCAUAUGACAU
rnacentral:sRNA from 1 species